rnacentral:rRNA from 1 species
GACGAACGCUGGCGGCGUGCUUAACACAUGCAAGUCGAGCGGUAAGGCCCUUUCGGGGGUACGACGAGCGGCGAACGGGUGAGUAACACGUGGGUGACCUGCCCUUAGCUCUGGGAUAAGCCUGGGAAACUGGGUCUAAUACCGGAUAUGACUCCAUGACGCAUGUUGGUGGGGUGGAAAGCCUUGUGCGGCUAGGGAUGGGCCCGCGGCCUAUCAGCUUGUUGGUGGGGUGAUGGCCUACCAAGGCGACGACGGUAGCCGGCCUGAGAGGGCGACCGGCCACACUGGGACUGAGACACGGCCCAGACUCCUACGGGAGGCAGCAGUGGGGAAUCUUGCGCAAUGGGCGAAAGCCUGACGCAGCGACGCCGCGU